GGUGCUGUGGCUUAGUUGGUUAGAGUGCUUGUUUAGUAAACGGGAGAUCCUGGGUUCAAAUGCCAGCAGUACCU